UUGACCUCAAAUCAGGUAGGACUACCCGCUGAACUUAAGCAUAUCAAUAAGCGGAGGAAAAGAAACUAACAAGGAUUCCCCUAGUAACUGCGAGUGAAGCGGGAAAAGCUCAAAUUUAAAAUCUGGCGGUCUCCGGCCGUCCGAGUUGUAAUCUAGAGAAGUGUUAUCCGCGCUGAC
rnacentral:rRNA from 1 species